rnacentral:rRNA from 1 species
AGCCUAUAUACCGCCGUCGUCAGCUUACCCUGUGAAGGUAAUAAAAGUAAGCAAAAUGGGUACAACCCAGAACGUCAGGUCGAGGUGUAGCGCAUGAAGUGGAAAGAAAUGGGCUACAUUUUCUACCACAGAAUAUUACGAACAUGCACCAUGAAACAAUGCUUGAAGGAGGAUUUAGUAGUAAAAAGGAAAUAGAGUGUCCUUUUGAACCCGGCUCUGAGACGCGUACACACCGCCCGUCACUCUCCCCUGUCAAAACGCACCCAAAAUACCUAAUAAAACAGCACUGACAAGGGGAGGCAAGUCGUAACACGGUAAGUGUACCGGAAGGUGCACUUGGAUCAAACC